UGGAGAGUUUGAUCCUGGCUCAGGACGAACGCUGGCGGCGUGCCUAAUACAUGCAAGUCGAGCGGACCRRAUCGGAGCUUGCUCUGRUUUGGUCAGCGGCGGACGGGUGAGUAACACGUGGGCAACCUGCCCGCAAGACCGGGAUAACUCCGGGAAACCGGAGCUAAUACCGGAUAACACCGAAGACCGCAUGGUCUUUGGUUGAAAGGCGGCCUUUGGCUGUCACUUGCGGAUGGGCCCGCGGCGCAUUAGCUAGUUGGUGAGGUAACGGCUCACCAAGGCGACGAUGCGUAGCCGGCCUGAGAGGGUGACCGGCCACACUGGGACUGAGACACGGCCCAGACUCCUACGGGAGGCAGCAGUAGGGAAUCUUCCGCAAUGGGCGAAAGCCUGACGGAGCRACGCCGCGUGAGCGAAGAAGGCCUUCGGGUYGUAAAGCUCUGUUGUGAGGGACGAAGGAGCGCCGUUCGAAGAGGGCGGCGCGGUGACGGUACCUCACGAGGAAGCCCCGGCUAACUACGUGCCAGCAGCCGCGGUA
rnacentral:rRNA from 1 species